rnacentral:rRNA from 1 species
UGGGGAAUCUUGCACAAUGGGCGGAAGCCUGAUGCAGCGACGCCGCGUGGGGGAUGACGGCCUUCGGGUUGUAAACUCCUUUCGCCAGGGACGAAGCCGUGAGGUGACGGUACCUGGAUAAGAAGCACCGGCUAACUACGUGCCAGCAGCCGCGGUAAUACGUAGGGUGCGAGCGUUGUCCGGAAUUACUGGGCGUAAAGAGCUCGUAGGUGGUUUGUCGCGUCGUCUGUGAAAUUCCGGGGCUUAACUCCGGGCGUGCAGGCGAUACGGGCAUAACUUGAGUGCUGUAGGGGAGACUGGAAUUCCUGGUGUAGCGGUGAAAUGCGCAGAUAUCAGGAGGAACACCGAUGGCGAAGGCAGGUCUCUGGGCAGUAACUGACGCGGAGGAGCGAAAGCAUGGGUAGCGAACAGG